AUUGAACGCUGGCGGCAUGCUUUACACAUGCAAGCCGAACGGUAACAGGGUGCUUGCACCGCUGACGAGUGGCGAACGGGUGAGUAAUGCGUCGGAACGUGCCGAGUAGUGGGGGAUAACGCAGCGAAAGUUGUGCUAAUACCGCAUACGUACUGAGGUAGAAAGUGGGGGACCUUCGGGCCUCACGCUAUUCGAGCGGCCGGCGUCUGAUUAGCUAGUAGGUGAGGUAAAGGCUCACCUAGGCGACGAUCAGUAGCGGGUCUGAGAGGAUGAUCCGCCACACUGGGACUGAGACACGGCCCAGACUCCUACGGGAGGCAGCAGUGGGGAAUUUUGGACAAUGGGCGAAAGCCUGAUCCAGCCAUGCCGCGUGUCUGAAGAAGGCCUUCGGGUUGUAAAGGACUUUUGUCAGGGAGGAAAUCCCUAGUGCUAAUAACACUGGGGGAUGACAGUACCUGAAGAAUAAGCACCGGCUAACUACGUGCCAGCCGCCGCAGUAA
rnacentral:rRNA from 1 species